rnacentral:tRNA from 2 species
GAGGGCGUAGCUCAGUCGGUAGAGCAUCGGACUUUUAAUCCGUGGGUCGUGGGUUCAAGUCCCACCGCCCUCA